UACGUAGGGGGCAAGCGUUGUUCGGAAUUACUGGGCGUAAAGGGCUUGUAGGUGGCCAACUAAGUCAGACGUGAAAUCCCUCAGCUUAACUGGGGAACUGCGUCUGAUACUGGAUGGCUUGAGUUUGGGAGAGGGACGCGGAAUUCCAGGUGUAGCGGUGAAAUGCGUAGAUAUCUGGAGGAACACCCGUGGCGAAGGCGGCUCUCUGGGACGGUACUGACGCUGAGACGCGAAAGCGUGGGGAGCGAACAGG
rnacentral:rRNA from 1 species